GGACUAUAUGAAAGAUCUUACAUCCAGAGGGACUCUCUACAAGCCGUACAAUCUGGUCCUUAUGGAGAAAAAUGACAAAAUCGGUGCCUAUGGUUUGUUUUACUACGCCCAAGGAUUCAACGGAAAAAUGACUGUGGAAAAAAUGACAAGGAAAAAAUGGAUAGAAAAAAAAACAGAAGGAAAAGUGAGUAAGUAGAAAUAAUUACAAGAUUAUUUUAAACUGAUACUAGCGCGAACACGCUAUCUUAAAGAUAGCCAAUGAAAAAUUAAAAAGAUUUUAUUCAUAUUUAGAUUGUUUAUGUUAAAAUUCUAACUUAAAGCGAUCUACUAUAAACUAUGAAAAUAUAAUAGACAUAUUUUUAUUGUAAAACCUCAUUGUAUACAGCAUUUUUUUUUUUUUUGUUUUCUGUCCAUUUGAUGUAAAUAUAAUCAAAUCUGCACACCUUUUGACACUGUUCAAAAUGCCUUAUAUAAUUAACCAUGUGAAAUACUGAUUUUGGUAAAUAUAAAGCAAUUUUUCAAAUGUUUGACCCUGUGAUUUAUUUAUUGUCAUUGCCAUUGCUAACUUGUCAUGUUCAUUCUUCAACCAGAAUGAAGAGAUAUCCUAAGACUAACACGCUAAUCCUCUUCUUCUUCAUUUACUUAAUUCCCUUUUUUAAUUCGUAUUUAAUAUACGUUCUCCCUUUUUCCGUUAAUACAAUAAUU
rnacentral:lncRNA from 1 species